rnacentral:rRNA from 1 species
GAUCAUGGCUCAGGAUGAACGCUAGCUACAGGCUUAACACAUGCAAGUUCGAGGGGCAGCAUGAACUUAGCUUGCUAAGUUUGAUGGCGACCGGCGCACGGGUGAGUAACACGUAUCCAACCUGCCGAUGACUCGGGGAUAGCCUUUCGAAAGAAAGAUUAAUACCCGAUGGCAUAGUUCUUCCGCAUGGUAGAACUAUUAAAGAAUUUCGGUCAUCGAUGGGGAUGCGUUCCAUUAGGUUGUUGGCGGGGUAACGGCCCACCAAGCCUUCGAUGGAUAGGGGUUCUGAGAGGAAGGUCCCCCACAUUGGAACUGAGACACGGUCCAAACUCCUACGGGAGGCAGCAGUGAGGAAUAUUGGUCAAUGGACGAGAGUCUGAACCAGCCAAGUAGCGUGAAGGAUGUCUGCCCUAUGGGUUGUAAACUUCUUUUAUACGGGAAUAAAGUGAGGCACGUGUGCCUUUUUGUAUGUACCGUAUGAAUAAGGAUCGGCUAACUCCGUG